UACGAAGGAGGCUAGCGUUGUUCGGAAUAACUGGGCGUAAAGCGCAUGUAGGCGGAUCUUUAAGUCAGAGGUGAAAUCCCAGGGCUCAACCCCGGCAUUGCCUUUGAUACUGGAGAUCUGGAGUCUGGGAGAGGUGAGUGGAAUUCCGAGUGUAGAGGUGAAAUUCGUAGAUAUUCGGAGGAACACCAGUGGCGAAGGCGGCUCACUGGCCCGAGACUGACGCUGAGAUGCGAAAGCGUGGGGAGCAAACAGG
rnacentral:rRNA from 1 species